UCUUUUGCCAAGCAGAUAGUUAAGGCUGUAUUAGUAGCAUGCUUCUCAAAGAGCAUCAAGUAUGCAUUUUAAUUCUGUUUGCAUAAGACAAAGAAUAAUCCCUUAGGCUUCUGUAUAGUCUGCCAAAUAAAGAGUGGGGAGGUUGAGAGAUUUCAGCUAUAGUUUCUCUUGAUCAGUGUUGAAUCUUAAUAUAAUAGGAAGUGAAGUUUUCCCAAGUUCUUCCGCGGAUCACUAGUUCUGGAGGAAGACGGUAGUUAUCAUAUGAAGAAAAAAGGUUUCAGGAUCAAAUACAUCUGGAGAACUCCGGAGUAAGCUAAAUCAUACAGGUUUUUGUUUUCCUUUUAAAUUGCAGGGCUUCUAGGAGCCUUUAAUUGUAAACUUCCAGGAGGGGAAGAGAGAUGAUGGAACUACCAAACUUCUGGUGUUCUUUUUGCAAGAAAUCUUAUGAGGGACAGCUCAUCCCAAAAUCAUCUAUUUCUUUAAAAACAAGCUGAAAAUCAAACCUGUCUUAUUCAUGAUGGAAAAUUCAGCUGUUUGUCAAGGGAUCAUUUCUUCUGAGUCUAACUCUUACAGCAGUACAGUACGGGUAGGUUCAGUAUGUUAGAACAGUAUGGGUGGGUUGUUCAAUGAAGCUAUGCAUGCUAGUUCCCAUCUGUAGAAUCAUAAGCCAGAGCACAAAAAUCAGUAACAUAGUCUAACAUUAUCCCUGGAGAUUUCUCCUCAUGGGAGUAAAGAGUAUAAUGGAGACCUGAGGUGAACUAGUCAUGCCUAAAAGCCAUCUGCUUCCUAGUUCAUCAAACAGUGCCUGGGAAAGCUGCAUGUAAGGUUUUGAAGGGUGGCUGGUGGAAGAAAGGACAAGAUUUUUAUAUUUUCCAGUAUUUGCUAGAGUUAACAUCUGUGUCAAUUUAGAUCUGUUAAUAAGUAAAUUCACCAGGAAAAAUCUAUCAAUCUUGAUGAAUAAGUAUAUUUUCUCUUUGGUUUUUGGUACUGUUAGGUGAAACUUUACCAAAUGUAUUGGCAAAUUAAAUUCUUAGGAAUAUUAAAGACAAUU
rnacentral:lncRNA from 1 species